UGUCAGGUAAAGGUGAAAAUGAGUCGACUGGUCAAUUCUGGGGCCUACUGAAAUUAAUAAAGCCUUUUAUUGUACCAGUAUAUGAAUCUUCAGAAUCACAACCAAUUACCGCAGCUAACAAACUGAAGACCCCACAAGAUAAAAUGGAGAGUCAAGCUUCACUAAUAGUGUCGAUAAAGAAUGUAUUCCGCAGAGUUUUUCAUGUACUUUUAUACGCACCAUUUACACGUUUUUACGACCACGUUUAUGAUAGUGUUGGUAUCUGGAUGGAUGAUGAUAUACAGUUCAUGUAGCAUUAAUGGAAAUGCGGCUUUCUUCGUCAACACACUCUCCUUCAAAAAUAAUAUAAUCAUUAUAACGCUCCUUUAACUCUUCGAUGACUUUUUCAUAGACGAUUGGACGUUGGUCUCAAAACAGGGCUUCAGUUUUUGUAAUUUUCCUGUAAGAACCCUUCUUUUCUUCAUCUUUCCACUUGAUUUUAAAUCAACAAGAAAUUAUGUAAUUCCUUUUUAAAUACAAUCGUUUUUUUUAUUUGAUUGCCAUAAAUAAUAAAAA